CACCUGUUUAUCAAAAACAUUGUAUUAAGUUUAAUUUAAUAUAGGAUCUGCUCAAUGAUUUAUUAAAUAGCUGCAGUAUUUUGACUGUGCAAAGGUAGCAUAAUAAUUAGUCUUUUAAUUGAGGACUUGUAUGAAAGAUUUGAUGAGAAAUAAACUUUAUUAUUUAUAUAAUUAAAAUUUUAUUUUUAAGUAAAAAAGCUUAAAUUAUUUAAAGGGACGAUAAGACCCUAUAAAACUUUAUAAAUAUUAUUUUUAAUUUUUUUGGAUUAUAAAUGUUUUAAUUUUAAUAUUUAUUUUAUUGGGGUGAUAAAAAAAUUUAAUUAACUUUUUUUAAAAUUUUACAUUAUUUAAUGGAUAUUUGAAUUAAAAUUUUUAAUUAAAGGAAAAAGUUACUUUAGGGAUAACAGCGUAAUUAAUUUUUUAAGUUCAAAUUUAAAAAUUAGUUUGCGACCUCGAUGUUGAAUUAAGAUUAAUCUUAGGUGCAAAAUUUUAAGUAUUAGGUCUGUUCGACUUUUAAAAUCU
rnacentral:rRNA from 1 species